rnacentral:rRNA from 1 species
GGGUUGUGAGGUUAAGCGACUAAGCGUACACGGUGGAUGCCCUGGCAGUCAGAGGCGAUGAAGGACGUGCUAAUCUGCGAAAAGCGCCGGCGAGGUGAUAUGAACCUUUGACCCGGCGAUGUCCGAAUGGGGAAACCCAGUGUGUUCCGACACACUAUCGUUAACUGAAUACAUAGGUUAACGAGGCGAACCGGGGGAACUGAAACAUCUAAGUACCCCGAGGAAAAGAAAUCAACCGAGAUUCCCCCAGUAGCGGCGAGCGAACGGGGAGCAGCCCAGAGUCUGAAUCAGCUUGUGUGUUAGUGGAAGCGUCUGGAAAGUCGCACGGUACAGGGUGACAGUCCCGUACACGAAAGCACACAGGUUGUGAACUCGAAGAGUAGGGCGGGACACGUGGUAUCCUGUCUGAAUAUGGGGGGACCAUCCUCCAAGGCUAAAUACUCCUGACUGACCGAUAGUGAACCAGUACCGUGAGGGAAAGGCGAAAAGAACCCCGGCGAGGGGAGUGAAAAAGAACCUGAAACCGUGUACGUACAAGCAGUGGGAGCCUCUUUUAUGGGGUGACUGCGUACCUUUUGUAUAAUGGGUCAGCGACUUAUAUUCUGUAGCAAGGUUAACCGUAUAGGGGAGCCGAAGGGAAACCGAGUCUUAACUGGGCGUUAAGUUGCAGGGUAUAGACCCGAAACCCGGUGAUCUAGCCAUGGGCAGGUUGAAGGUUGGGUAACACUAACUGGAGGACCGAACCGACUAAUGUUGAAAAAUUAGCGGAUGACUUGUGGCUGGGGGUGAAAGGCCAAUCAAACCGGGAGAUAGCUGGUUCUCCCCGAAAGCUAUUUAGGUAGCGCCUCGUGAACUCAUCUUCGGGGGUAGAGCACUGUUUCGGCUAGGGGGCCAUCCCGGCUUACCAACCCGAUGCAAACUACGAAUACCGAAGAAUGUUAUCACGGGAGACACACGGCGGGUGCUAACGUCCGUCGUGAAGAGGGAAACAACCCAGACCGCCAGCUAAGGUCCCAAAGUCAUGGUUAAGUGGGAAACGAUGUGGGAAGGCACAGACAGCCAGGAUGUUGGCUUAGAAGCAGCCAUCAUUUAAAGAAAGCGUAAUAGCUCACUGGUCGAGUCGGCCUGCGCGGAAGAUGUAACGGGGCUAAACCAUGCACCGAAGCUGCGGCAGCGACGCUUAUGCGUUGUUGGGUAGGGGAGCGUUCUGUAAGCCGUUGAAGGUGUCCUGUGAGGGGUGCUGGAGGUAUCAGAAGUGCGAAUGCUGACAUAAGUAACGAUAAAGCGGGUGAAAAGCCCGCUCGCCGGAAGACCAAGGGUUCCUGUCCAACGUUAAUCGGGGCAGGGUGAGUCGACCCCUAAGGCGAGGCCGAAAGGCGUAGUCGAUGGGAAACAGGUUAAUAUUCCUGUACUUGGUGUUACUGCGAAGGGGGGACGGAGAAGGCUAUGUUAGCCGGGCGACGGUUGUCCCGGUUUAAGCAUGUAGGCGGAACGAUUAGGUAAAUCCGGUCGUUUAUUAACGCUGAGGUGUGAUGACGAGGCACUACGGUGCUGAAGUAACAAAUGCCCUGCUUCCAGGAAAAGCCUCUAAGCAUCAGGUAACACGAAAUCGUACCCCAAACCGACACAGGUGGUCAGGUAGAGAAUACCAAGGCGCUUGAGAGAACUCGGGUGAAGGAACUAGGCAAAAUGGUGCCGUAACUUCGGGAGAAGGCACGCUGAUAUGUAGGUGAAGCCCCUGCGGGUGGAGCUGAAAUCAGUCGAAGAUACCAGCUGGCUGCAACUGUUUAUUAAAAACACAGCACUGUGCAAACACGAAAGUGGACGUAUACGGUGUGACGCCUGCCCGGUGCCGGAAGGUUAAUUGAUGGGGUUAGCGGUAACGCGAAGCUCUUGAUCGAAGCCCCGGUAAACGGCGGCCGUAACUAUAACGGUCCUAAGGUAGCGAAAUUCCUUGUCGGGUAAGUUCCGACCUGCACGAAUGGCGUAAUGAUGGCCAGGCUGUCUCCACCCGAGACUCAGUGAAAUUGAACUCGCUGUGAAGAUGCAGUGUACCCGCGGCAAGACGGAAAGACCCCGUGAACCUUUACUAUAGCUUGACACUGAACACUGGUCCUUGAUGUGUAGGAUAGGUGGGAGGCUUUGAAGCGUGGACGCCAGUCUGCGUGGAGCCAACCUUGAAAUACCACCCUUUAAUGGCUGGUGUUCUAACGUAGACCCGUAAUCCGGGUUGCGGACAGUGUCUGGUGGGUAGUUUGACUGGGGCGGUCUCCUCCCAAAGAGUAACGGAGGAGCACGAAGGUUAGCUAAUCCUGGUCGGACAUCAGGAGGUUAGUGCAAUGGCAUAAGCUAGCUUGACUGCGAGAGUGACGGCUCGAGCAGGUGCGAAAGCAGGUCAUAGUGAUCCGGUGGUUCUGAAUGGAAGGGCCAUCGCUCAACGGAUAAAAGGUACUCCGGGGAUAACAGGCUGAUACCGCCCAAGAGUUCAUAUCGACGGCGGUGUUUGGCACCUCGAUGUCGGCUCAUCACAUCCUGGGGCUGAAGUAGGUCCCAAGGGUAUGGCUGUUCGCCAUUUAAAGUGGUACGCGAGCUGGGUUUAGAACGUCGUGAGACAGUUCGGUCCCUAUCUGCCGUGGGCGCUGGAGAAUUGAGGGGGGCUGCUCCUAGUACGAGAGGACCGGAGUGGACGCAUCACUGGUGUUCGGGUUGUCAUGCCAAUGGCACUGCCCGGUAGCUAAAUGCGGAAGAGAUAAGUGCUGAAAGCAUCUAAGCACGAAACUUGCCCCGAGAUGAGUUCUCCCUGAGACUUUAAGUCUCCUGAAGGAACGUUGAAGACUACGACGUUGAUAGGUCGGGUGUGUAAGCGCAGCGAUGCGUUGAGCUAACCGAUACUAAUGAACCGUGAGGCUUAACCUUACAACGCCGAAGGUGUUU